AGGAUCCGCGCCUGUGGUUGAAAGCCGAUGCCAGUCGCAGGCAAAACGGUCCACGUAAGCAGCGCUCCGGCGCGGCGAGCAUAGUGCGGCUAGACGUAAGCCCGCCCGCCCGGCAAAGGGCGAGAGGAGUAAGAGUGGCCUAAACGGCUGCGGGGCUUCCAGGCGGCGGAUGUGGGGGAAAAGACCAGGUCAGGCGGAUCCU
rnacentral:ncRNA from 1 species